AAAUCCUACGGGAGGCAGCAGUGGGGAAUAUUGGGCAAUGGGCGCAAGCCUGACCCAGCAACGCCGCGUGAAGGAAGAAGGCUUUCGGGUUGUAAACUUCUUUUCUCAGGGACGAAGCAAGUGACGGUACCUGAGGAAUAAGCCACGGCUAACUACGUGCCAGCAGCCGCGGUAAUACGUAGGUGGCAAGCGUUAUCCGGAUUUACUGGGUGUAAAGGGCGUGUAGGCGGGAAAGCAAGUCAGAUGUGAAAACCAUGGGCUCAACCUGUGGCCUGCCUUUGAACAUGUUUUUAU
rnacentral:rRNA from 1 species